ACCAGUCUUCUUUAAACCGAGUUGAACCGAGCUCUUCCCACUAAUCAAGAUGAGAAUUUUGUUCUUUUUGUGCUUGAUUGCAAUGGCCUUUGCAAUUCCCGUUGCAGAACCGGAGGCAGACCCCCACGGGGUAGUUCUCACUCGCCCCCUUAUACACCCAUACAGCUAUGGGCGCCCACUCACAUACCUCAGUAGCUACCCACUGACAUACGGCCACAGACUUGGGUAUCCCUACAAGGCUUGGUAAAUCCCUGCUCCUCAGGAAUGCCUUCACCCAAGUUGACCUACGCAUGACGUUGUCCUUCGUAAUUUUCUAUUUGCAUUUUUCCCUCCAGAUUAGAUGUGUUAUAUAUUCAGCAAUGACCUCUCAAAAGAUACAGAAAUUAUAUUUACCACUCUUAAGGAAUUUGAAUUCC